ACAGCCCAACUUUUUUCGCAAGUCGCUGUAAAGUUGAUCUUGCUCCUUUUUUAUAUACACACACAUCUUCUCCUCCCUCUCACACCUUCCUCUUCAAUCCUCCAUUUUCUUCAAACCCUGAAAAAAGAAGGGUUUUCAAAGAUCAAUCAAGAUUUUGCUAAAAAAAAACAAGAAGCCAAACCAUUUACUCAGAUCAAACAUGCUCGCCGUUCACCGUCCUUCUUCCGCCGUAUCCGACGGAGAUUCCGUCCAGAUUCCGAUGAUGAUCGCUUCUUUUCAAAAACGUUUCCCUUCCAUCUCACGCGAUUCAACCGCCGCUCGUUUCCACACGCACGAGGUCGGUCCUAACCAGUGUUGCUCCGCCGUCAUC
rnacentral:lncRNA from 1 species